UUUGCCCCGUGAGACGGAACUCUGGCUGGCGUGCCAUUGUUGCGCUAUAUGUGGGCAGAAAGGAAAUGGCUUGUGAUCGACCCUGCUGUUCUGAACAGUGGACCAGGGGCUUGGAACAGGGCCGGAUAAA